UCAGCAAAAUUAAAUUCAAACAUUCUCCCUCUCUCUCACUCACCACCUCCUUCUCUGCCGCGCCCGAGGUUCCCUCGGCGGUGGAGAUUUCUAGAAAGUAAAAUUGAGGUCACCAUUCUCCUCCUCUUCUUAAGCUAAACACAUAAACGCCAUUGAUUUCAUUCAAUUCCUAACAAAACUUCCAAAACGAGACCUACCAUAUAUGAACCCUAGAAUUCUAAAACCAAAUUAAAAGCCAAUGAUGCCUAACUCAGACUCCAAAGUUUAGGGCUAUGGAUCCUAAGCGUUCAAGUUACAUGGUGGCAACGUAGUUCAUUCGAGUUAGCAAAGAAAUUGAUAACUCACCGACGAGGCGGAGAAUGGCCCCAAAAUCAUAGGAGUUGAAGAAGAAUGAUGAAGAAUGGAAAAAGCUCCACGAUAUAGGUAACAUGUACAUGAAACAUGGUGGUUGAACCAAAGUAUGCAACAUAACCUCAAGAUGGGGUUUUGGAUUAUCAUGUACAAAAUACAAGCAUUCAAGGAUCAAUGAUCAAAGAAUGGAGGUUAGGGAUGGAAAUAGGAUUAGGGUUAGGAAAAUUAGGGUUUUGGAUAGUUGGGUUGACUUUGGUCAAAGUUUACCAAAAAGUCAAAGUUUCCCAAAAAGUCAAUUUUUGACCAAAGUCAACAUUUGGUCAGAGUUCAAAUUUUAUAAUUUUCUCAUGUAAUGGACAUCUUUAUGCUUUGUGUAAUGGAAUUUGAAGUUUUUGUGAAUGAAAUGGAUUGGAUAUGAA